ACAGGCACAGAAAAGAGAGAGGUCUCCAAUUGUUCCGUUGUUUCAUACCAGGUAGCAAGAGCAUUGAACUAUUUCUGGCGGAGUAGCUGGUGUGCUGGGAAUUGGUGUUGGAAAGGUUAGUUGGAUUUGAGCAGCCUGCUGGCCUUCAGACUUGACCUGGACAUUGGCUCUUCCUGCUGCUACAGCAGCUUCUGGACUUGGGACUCAAGCUGGGACAAUGGCUGUGCAGAUUUAGGACUUGCCAGCCUCUGUAAUCAUUCUCCUUCCCCCAUAUUUGAGGGACAUCACCCGUGGACCAGAGCACUUUUCUUCUUGGGGCCAACGCGGAACCUCAGAAUCCUUCUCAAUAAAGCAACUACCAAUAUACCAGACAGAGACUGCUUGGUCAGCUUUGGUCAUAAAGCUUAAGAUGAUGUGGAGCAGAGGACUCAGGAGUGCUCUUGGAGAAAUUUCAUUGUGUGAAACUGAAGAGAAAGGACUAUGAAAGAAAUCUCCAAGUCAGGUUGAGAAAAAAUGUAAAGAAGAACCAGCAUUCUAGAAUCUCAAACAGGUACACAUCUCAAUUAAUAUUCAUUUAAGCCAUAAUAAGCAAGUCCUUCUCCAUGUGCACUGCAAAAAUAAAGGAUGCAGCUACAGCUAUGGAAUGGUAAAUCACAGCAGUCUUUCUGCCAGUUGGCAAGAAGGAUCUGGAACUUCUAAGAAUAUCUUCAGAUUAUUAGCAUACUCUUCAUGUCCCCAAAGGAAAUUGUUAUUUUUUUUUUCUUGUUGGAAUUUGUUUUAUCUUUUGAGAUUACCUUGAUAGCCAAUUCAAUCCAAUUAAUAUAUUUACAGAUGAAGAGACAAAUACUUAGUGCCUUGGAUACAAUACCACUUUAUGGUCUCUCCAAAUGUCCCGGCAUUUUCCUCAGAGAAGUGUUCUUAACAUAUUGGCUAAACUCUAGUUUGUGCAAUUACUUGCAGAUUUCUUAAAUUUGCACUGUAGUCUCAGUUAAGUUUGUAUUUGUUAUCCAAAACAAAUGGACAACUGCCAUGCACUAUUAAACUAUCACUACACUAUGCCAGAGUUAAUUUCAUUUCAGUGUAAAACAAACACCAUCUCAUUUAUAGCAUUGCAUUCCAUCUAAUUAAUCUACUCUUCAUAAUAUUACAAAUAUGUUACUGCCUGGAAGUCAGAAUUAAACAAAAGGACCUUUUAGGUAUCUUUCCAUUCUGAGUCCACAAUUCUGUACUGCUGUAGAGCUACAAGUCCUAGCAGCUUCAAGAGCAAUGUACCUCACCUUUGGUACUUCGGCUGCACAUUGGAAUCUCUGGAGGAACUUUAAAUACUGAUUUUUGGGAUCCAUCUCCAGAGAUUCUGAUUUAAUUGGUCUGAGAUAUGGCUAGGGCACCAGAAUUCAUUCAAGGUUACAGUGUGAAAU